UUUUUUUAUAGAACCCAAUAUAUAUCAACAGGGCUGCUGAUCAUCAACCAACCUGAUGAAUUAAAAAAGCUAAUCAGCAAGACUAUGUGGAUGCAAUUACAACAUCAAAGCCACAGGGCUCUUUAAAAACCACCAGAAAAAAGUCCUUACUGGCAUUUUAAGAGUUUGGGGCUGAACAUAGCCGAUGAUAAGAUCCACAGAUCUAGGCCUGACGAAAAGGGACACAUCCUGAAAGGAUUAAAUGAUACAAAAAGAGCGAUGGUACAGCAGUAGAUUGUAUUGUGCAUCUUCAAAUUGUCUUUUAAUUUCCUCGAGGAGAAAAACUUGUAAUGAUGUUGCUGAAAUCCCUCUCUCGGGCUCAAAGCACCAUCGCUGUGUGAUUUUCAGAGGAAUUAUGAAGCAAUGAAAGAUGAAAAUCUCAUUCGAGCAGAUGGUUUGGCUUUGUGUUAUGCUACACUUUAUAUGAUACUACAGUUUAUAGAUGUAGCAGAAUGUU